UUGACCUCGAAUCAGGUAGGGACUACCUCGCUGAACUUAAGCAUAUCAAUAAGCGGAGGAAAAGAAACCAACAGGGAU
rnacentral:rRNA from 1 species